GACGAACGCUGGCGGCGUGCUUAACACAUGCAAGUCGAACGGAAAGGCCCUGCUUUUGUGGGUUGCUCGAGUGGCGAACGGGUGAGUAACACGUGAGUAACCUGCCCUUGACUUUGGGAUAACUUCAGGAAACUGGGGCUCAUACCGGAUAUGAUCUCCUGCUGCAUGGUGUGGGUUGGAAAGUUUCGGCGGUUGGGGAUGGACUCGCGGCUUAUCAGCUUGUUGGUGGGGUAGUGGCUUACCAAGGCUUUGACGGGUAGCCGGCCUGAGAGGGUGAACGGCCACAUUGGGACUGAGAUACGGCCCAGAAUGCUACGGGAGGCAGCAGGGGGGAAUAUUGCACAAUGGGCGGAAGCCUGAUGCAGCAACGCCGCGUGCGGGAUGACGGCCUUCGGGUUGAAAACCGAUUUCGCAUGUGACGAAGCGUGAGUGACGGUAAUGGGUAAAGAAGCACCGGCUAACUACGUG
rnacentral:rRNA from 1 species